rnacentral:sRNA from 1 species
AAUAGUCCGGUAGGUAAGGCUACCACAGGGAUACGGGUUGCUGCCGCAAAAUAGUGGAGACACUAUGAGAUGGUUAACAGGAUAUGUCGAAAGAAUUAAGGCAUAUUUUAAUGUAAUUUCAUGCCCUGCGAAGCUAAAGCUUGAACGGUAU